AGCCACCCACAGGAGUCCCAGUUCCACACCAGAUCCUCUGCAUAGCUACCCCCUCUACUCCUGCAAAACUCUGCCGCCCCCGCCUGCCCUCCUCCUGCCCCUCCGGCCAUCUGCCCUGUUCCCGCAGGCUUCCCCACCAAGGAUCUUUUCCCCUCCUUGGCCUCUCUAACCCCCCCCCACAACGCCCCUCUUUUGCCUUACUACUCCACCUACCAUUGCUUCUCUCCUACCGAAAUCUCCGCAGAGACCCCUCCCCAUCCAAGCGCUCCCCUAAACACAAAUGCAUUUUCAGUUUCUAAUGGCUGCUCACAAACAAUACUGUCCCCUACUCCAAGGUCCCAGAGACUUAACCACCCCUCUCCAGUUUGUCAUGUAUAUAACUUAGUUGUGCUAGGGUCACCCUGGAGAGUCAAGCCCCGAGGAGAAGCCCUUGCUGAGCCCGGUGACCCUGAGCGUGGACGAUGGCGAUGGGCUGCCCUCCCACCUCAACCUCAGCCACACACACCCUCCCCGAUUUUACUGACACCAAAUGACCGCUCUCCAGUCGCUAGGACAAGAGGAGGCAGAGAGAGGCUUGUGGACGGCAUCUGGGGAAGCAGUUGGCUGUGGGUUGCUAGGCAAAAAUAAACAUCAGAGACACCUCCCAUUUCCUUACAACUGGAAGCCUUUUCCCCACGCGGCCACUGGGAGAGACACACCUUCCUCUCUGCUCACUGCUGCAAGGGAGCGACACCUCUAAAUUCUCUCGUCCUCUGGUAUGAUUCUUUCCCUUCCAAGACACGUGAAAAAUUUCUCUGCCCUUUUAAUUGGCCAUGUACUACUUCUCUUUCCCAUGAGUACCAAAAAAAUUGCUUGCCCAUCUCACACCUGCGCCUUGUGCUGCGUGGCACAUUGUAUGCCUUUGUCCAAAGGUCACCGGUUUUGCCAUUUCAACAGUUACGAACGAGAGAGGAAAGCUGGGCAAAUCUCAGAUGACAGGGCAGAAAGUUAUGCUGUGUAUUUAUUUUCUGAGAGGUAUCUAGUUUUUGAAGUUCUCCUGGGGAUACGGGUCCAUUCCACUCCACCCAGCAGCGUGCGUCUUCAAGCCCCUUGCAGGACCCAGCUUGCAGGCCCAAACUAGUGCAGACUCCAAAGAGAAGGGAGCCAGCCACCUCCUGCGGAGUUCCAUCGCCUCUACUGUUUGCAAAUUGUCAUAGCAACCUCCCACAGAGAUCACCUUCAGUUUCAUACAAAGCCAAAAGUUGAGUAUUUCAAGAAUUGCUUCUUCUAAUGAUGCAGCUAUCAAGACAGCAGCUGGGAAAACGUGAAAACUCAAAGAAUUUAUGCAAAGAAAUACUAUGUCAGGCAUGUGAGCUCGACUAGAAUUGCAUAUUCCUGCUGAGACUCACUCAAGCACCAUCGUAUUUGCAAAUGGGCACGUGGAUGAAUAAGCUAACCUGGUAGAGAAAGAUGAUCCAAGGCCAAGACGUUAUUGCAUAUUUCAGAUAUUUGAAACAAACAAAAAAAUCUUUAUGCCACGGUCUUGCUUGAGUUUUUCUUCCUUGAGAAAUGAAAAAUCAACACAAUUUUUUUUUUGAUGAAAGCAGCCUUUAUGUAAAGUUGUUGUAAGUUGAGAACACAGAUCCCAUUAGAUGACUAAACAGCUAUAAUCCAGUUAUUUCACAAGAAGAAAAUAAUACAAUGGUCCUCAAAAAAUAAAUGGAAAAGAGAAAGACUCCAUUUUUUUUUUAAAUUCAUAAAAGGACUUUUCCAUGGAGUAACUGGCACUGAAGGCUGUCUAAAGGAAUGGUUAUGAAACAUUGAUUUUCUGAAAUCCUGCAAGGUCUUACAAAGUGCCCAAGAAAUCACUGAAAGCAUAUAUGGCUAGCCAGCUCUGCAGCAGGGCCCACCGAAGCUCAAGAUCAAAUUUUCAAGAGCAGCUUAUAACUUCCUACCCUAUGUCAAUACAUCUCCUCAAAGUUGACGUAAUGCCUACUGAAUUGAAGGGUUGACAACUGCACCUGUUCAUCAGCUUGCCUUUGAGUCAAGUUUUUCUUAUCUCUCUUCCUCUUCCAUAGCAUUCCAGUGAUCAUUCCCAUCAUUAAAAAUUUUCCUGAGAAGAUUUGGCAUUAUCUAUGAAGCAGGAGUGGGGAACUGCGAACUAAAAUUGUCCUUCAUCUCUCUAAACCCCAAGUUGAUUUUUAUUUCCAUCUCAAGCAAUAGAAGACUUUUAAAAUUCCCUAAAGAAACUGAUGAAAUUUUGGUUUGUGCCUUAAGGGACCAUAUAUAAACUGAUCUUGAGAAAAAU